rnacentral:rRNA from 1 species
UCAAAGGAAUUGACGGGGGCCCGCACAAGCGGCGGAGCAUGCGGAUUAAUUCGAUGCAACGCGAAGAACCUUACCAAGGCUUGACAUGAACCGGUAAUACCUGGAAACAGGUGCCCCGCUUGCGGUCGGUUUACAGGUGGUGCAUGGUUGUCGUCAGCUCGUGUCGUGAGAUGUUGGGUUAAGUCCCGCAACGAGCGCAACCCUCGUUCUAUGUUGCCAGCGCGUUAUGGCGGGGACUCAUAGGAGACUGCCGGGGUCAACUCGGAGGAAGGUGGGGACGACGUCAAAUCAUCAUGCCCCUUAUGUCUUGGGCUUCACGCAUGCUACAAUGGCCGGUACAAAGGGUUGCGAUACUGUGAGGUGGAGCUAAUCCCAAAAAGCCGGUCUCAGUUCGGAUUGGGGUCUGCAACUCGACCCCAUGAAGUCGGAGUCGCUAGUAAUCGCAGAUCAGCAACGCUGCGGUGAAUACGUUCCCGGGCCUUGUACACACCGCCCGUCAAGUCACGAAAGUUGGUAACACCCGAAGCCGGUGGCCUAACCCUUGUGGGGGGAGCCGUCGAAGGUGGGACCGGCGAUUGGGACUAAGUCGUAACAAGGUAGCCGUACCGGAAGGUGCGGCUGGAU